GACGAACGCUGGCGGCGUGCUUAACACAUGCAAGUCGAACGAAGUGGCGAACGGGUGAGUAACGCGUAAUCAACCUGCCCUUCAGAGGGGGACAACAGUUGGAAACGACUGCUAAUACCGCAUACUGAAGGAGGGGAUUGCGUCUGAUUAGCUAGUUGGAGGGGUAACGGCCCACCAAGGCGAUGCUCAGUAGACGGUCUUAGAGGAGGAACGGCCAAAUUGGGAAUGAGAAACGGGCCAGACUCCUAAGGGAGGCAGCAGGGGGGAAUGUUCCGCAAUGGAAGAAAGGCUGAAGGAGCAAAGCCGCGGGAGGGAUGACGGCCUUCGGGUUGUAAAGAUCUGUUAAUCGGGACGCGGUACCGGAAUAGAAAGCCACGGCUAACUACGUGCCAGCAGCCGCGGUAAUAC
rnacentral:rRNA from 1 species